rnacentral:rRNA from 1 species
UACGAAGGGGGCUAGCGUUGUUCGGAAUCACUGGGCGUAAAGCGCACGCAGGCGGAUCGUUAAGUCAGGGGUGAAAUGCCGAGGCUCAACCUCGGAACUGCCUUUGAUACUGGCGAUCUUAGAGUCCGGGAGAGGUGAGUGGAACUCCGAGUGUAGAGGUGAAAUUCGUAGAUAUUCGGAAGAACACCAGUGGCGAAGGCGGCUCACUGGCCCGGUACUGACGCUCAGGUGCGAAAGCGUGGGGGGCAAACAGG